rnacentral:tRNA from 1 species
CGGGGCGUAGCGCAGCCUGGCUAGCGCGCUGCAAUGGGGUUGCAGAGGUCGGAAGUUCGAAUCUUCUCGCCCCGACCA